CCUACGGGAGACAGCAGUGAGGAAUAUUGGUCAAUGGUCGGGAGACUGAACCAGCCAAGCCGCGUGAGGGAGGAAGGUACAGAGUAUCGUAAACCUCUUUUGUCAGGGAACAAAGGCGGGGACGUGUCCCCGGAUGAGUGUACCUGAAGAAAAAGCAUCGGCUAACUCCGUGCCAGCAGCCGCGGUAAUACGGAGGAUGCGAGCGUUAUCCGGAUUUAUUGGGUUUAAAGGGUGCGCAGGCGGUCUGUUAAGUCAGCGGUCAAAGCCCGGGGCUCAACCCCGGCCCGCCGUUGAAACUGGCAGGCUCGAGUUGGAGAGAAGUAUGCGGAAGGCGCGGUGUAGCGGUGAAAUGCAUAGAUAUCGCGCAGAACUCCGAUUGCGAAGGCAGCAUGCCGGCUCCACACUGACGCUGAGGCACGAAAGCGUGGGUAUCGAACAGGAUUAGAUACCCCUGUAGUC
rnacentral:rRNA from 1 species